AACCAUCGAAUCAUUAUCAUUUCAUGUCAACACCUCAAAGUGUACACGUCAUUUAAAUAUUUUAUUGUAUUUUUGUGAACAAAGAAAAUCUGCUAAAGCUAUGCCGCCUCCUCACGCAUUGCCCUGCGGACCUUACUGCGGUACCCAGUGCGCACCACACUGCUACCACCGUGCCAGGGUUGUGGUCCACGCGCCACCACCCCACUAUACGCCACCACAUCAUUACCCCCACCCGCCACCACACGUCCACCCGAUCCCACCACCAUACAGUCCCCCGCCACCACCACCACCUCAUCACCAUCCCCAUCAUCCCCACCAUUAUCCCCAUCACCCAAACAGCAUGAUGCGCUAAUCUCCUUAUAACAUCAACAUUAGCUUCGAGCAUUUUGCUCAACCUUACUCAAACUAAUUGAACAAAACAAAUGAACAACUAACACUGGAUACAGACUUAACAGUGUCUGACGCUACUUUACAAACACCUUAAAGUGGUAUAUUCAUAGCGUUAAUUGACGUUGGACCACAACUUCGAGCACCUUCUAUUUAGAAAAAUUCGGCAACAAAUACAAGAUGGCCGCUAUCUGCAGUCCGAUGGGUAAUCCAUCAAACCUUAUUAUCAAACAAUUCUUGGAAUAUUAAGAUCUGCUUAUUGAGUGUAUUCUAAAUUGACUUUUUAUCUUAUCGCCAAAGAUAAUGUUUUAAAAUAUGUACUUAAAUGAAGUGCGAAGUACACUCAUUGUUUGCCACUUAAUCAAUAAAAACUUUAACUGAUAA